GCCGCGGCGAUAGCUCAGUGUAUCAAGCACCAGGUGAGCAGAUGACGAUUACUUCGAGAGCUAUUGUCUGCGCGGGUUCGAAUCCCGCCUGUGGCA